GGAUGUGAGGGUGAUCUGGCUGCAACAUCUCUCACCCCACUGAUCACCACGGUUGAUUCAGCUGAUCUGGCUAGCUAGGCAGGUGUCCCCUUCCUCCCUCACAGCUCCAUGUGCGUCCCUCCCAAAGCUGUGCGUUCAGUCAAAGAGGACAAUCAAAAAAAUAUGAGUAUGGUAUAAAAAUAAGCCAAAAACCAUGCUGGUGCUUCACAAAUGACUGAAGAUUGGGGAAAACUGCACUGUGCUAUACUGUUGCUGUUUUGUUAGAUUAAAUUAUUUUAAAAUUUUUUAAUC
rnacentral:snRNA from 1 species